rnacentral:misc_RNA from 1 species
GAAAUGCGAUAAGUAAUGUGAAGUGCAGAAUUCAGUGAAUCAUCGAAUCUUUGAACGCACCUUGCGCUCCUUGGUAUUCCGAGGAGCAUGCCUGUUUGAGUGUCAUGGAAUUCUCAACUCUAUUUGCUUUUGUGAAUAGAGCUUGGAUUUGGAGGUUUAUUGCUGGUACUUGUGAUCGGCUCCUCUUGAAUGCAUUAGCUCGAACCUUUGCGGAUCAGCUAUCGGUGUGAUAAUUGUCUACGCCGUUGCAGUGAAGCAUAUCAAUGGGCUCGGCUUCCAAUCGUCCUUUACUGGACAAUGACUUUGACCUUUGACCUCAAAUCAGGUAGGAUUACCCGCUGAACUUAAGC